UGGAGUGAAACAUGGGAUUAUAGUAUUCACGGCGUGAAAUAGGGGAUUACACUAUUUUUAAAACGGAAAGUGAAUCAAUUAACAUAAUAGACUCCU
rnacentral:pre_miRNA from 1 species